rnacentral:misc_RNA from 1 species
UCCCGGUUGGCCCGGGCAGUCUCGCGUGAAAAAUUUAACACGCAAUAGGGGUUGCGCUCGUUGCGGGACUUAACCCAACAUCUCACGACACGAGCUGACGACGGCCAUGCAACACCUGUCACUGGGCUCCCGAAGGCACUCCACUAUUUCUAGCGGAUUCCCAGGAUGUCAAGCCUCGGUAAGGUUCUUCGCGUAUCGUCGAAUUAAACCACAUCAUCCACUGCUUGUGCGACUCCCCGUCAAUUCCUUUGAGUUUUAAGCUUGCGCUCGUACUCCCCAGGCGGCAGGCUUAACGCGUUAGCUUCUCAGCACAGAGGGUCGAUACUCCAUACUAAUAGCCUGCAUCGUUUACGGCGUGGACUAC